UCAAUAAGCGGAGGAAAAGAAACCAACAGGGAUUGCCCUAGUAACGGCGAGUGAAGCGGCAACAGCUCAAAUUUGAAAUCUGGCUCUUUCAGAGUCCGAGUUGUAAUUUGCAGAGGGCGCUUUGGCGUUGGCAGCGGUCCAAGUUCUUUGGAACAGGACGUCACAGAGGGUGAGAAUCCCGUACGUGGUCGCUAGCCUUCGCCGUGUAAAGCCCCUUCGACGAGUCGAGUUGUUUGGGAAUGCAGCUCUAAAUGGGAGGUAAAUUUCUUCUAAAGCUAAAUACUGGCCAGAGACCGAUAGCGCACAAGUAGAGUGAUCGAAAGAUGAAAAGCACUUUGGAAAGAGAGUCAAAUAGCACGUGAAAUUGUUGAAAGGGAAGCGCUUGCAGCCAGACUUGCCUGUAGUUGCUUAUCCAGACUCUUGUCUGGUGCACUCUUCUGCAGGCAGGCCAGCAUCAGUUUGGGCGGUUGGAUAAAGGUCUCUAUCACGUACCUCCUUUCGGGGAGGCCUUAUAGGGGAGACGUCAUGCAACCAGCCUGGACUGAGGUCCGCGCAUCUGCUAGGAUGCUGGCGUAAUGGCUGUAAGCGGCCCGUCUUGAAACACGGACCAAGGAGUCUAACAUCUAUGCGAGUGUUUGGGUGUCAAGCCCAGACGCGUAAUGAAAGUGAACGGAGGUGGGAACCCUUACGGGUGCACCAUCGACCGAUCCUGAUGUCUUCGGAUGGAUUUGAGUAAGAGCAUGGCUGUUGGGACCCGAAAGAUGGUGAACUAUGCUUGAAUAGGGUGAAGCCAGAGGAAACUCUGGUGGAGGCUCGCAGCGGUUCUGACGUGCAAAUCGAUCGUCAAAUUUGGGCAUAGGGGCGAAAGACUAAUCGAACUAUCUAGUAGCUGGU
rnacentral:rRNA from 3 species